rnacentral:tRNA from 1 species
GCCGGAAUAGCUCANUUGGUAGAGCAGAGGACUGAAAACCUCGUGUCAC